UUGCUUUGGCAGCACAUAUAAUAAAAAUUGGAACAAUAUGAAGAAGAUUAGCAUGGGCCCUGCACAAAGAUGGUGUGCACUCUCACCACUUUUAUUCAACAUAGUUUU
rnacentral:snRNA from 1 species